GACGAACGCUGGCGGCGUGCCUAACACAUGCAAGUCGAACGGAGAUUUUAGCAAUAAAAUCUUAGUGGCGAACGGGUGAGUAACGCGUAGACAACCUGCCUUCUAGAUGGGGACAACACUGCGAAAGUGGUGCUAAUACCGAAUGUUGUAAUUGGAAUGCAUGUUCUGAUUACUAUAGGUGGCCUCUAUUUAUAAGCUAUCGCUAGAAGAUGGGUCUGCGUCUGAUUAGCUAGGUGGUGAGGUAAUGACUCACCAAGGCGACGAUCAGUAGCCGGUCUGAGAGGAUGAACGGCCACACUGGGACUGAGACACGGCCCAGACUCCUACGGGAGGCAGCAGUGGGGAAUCUUCCGCAAUGGACGAAAGUCUGACGGAGCAACGCCGCGUGAGUGAAGAAGGUUUUCGGAUCGUAAAACUCUAUUUUCAGGGACGAAUGUGCUGAUUGUAAAUAAUGGUUGGUAAUGACGGUACCUGACAAGAAAGCCACGGCUAACUACGUGCCAGCCGCCGCAGUAAAAC
rnacentral:rRNA from 1 species